GGGGAAUCUUGCGCAAUGGGCGAAAGCCUGACGCAGCGACGCCGCGUGCGGGAAGAAGGCCUUCGGGUUGUAAACCGCUUUUAGGAGGGACGAAGCCACUCGGGUUAAUAGCCCAGAGGGUGACGGUACCUCCAGAAGAAGCCCCGGCUCACUACGUGCCAGCAGCCGCGGUAAUACGUAGGGGGCAAGCGUUGUCCGGAUUUAUUGGGCGUAAAGAGCGAGUAGGCGGUUAUACAGGUCCGCUGUGAAAACUGGAGGCUUAACCUCCAGACGUCGGUGGAAACCGUAUAACUAGAGUCCGGAAGAGGAGAGUGGAAUUCCUGGUGUAGCGGUGAAAUGCGCAGAUAUCAGGAAGAACACCCGUGGCGAAGGCGGCUCUCUGGGACGGUACUGACGCUGAGACGCGAAAGCGUGGGGAGCGAAC
rnacentral:rRNA from 1 species